rnacentral:rRNA from 1 species
UGCCUAACACAUGCAAGUCGAACGGCAGCAUGAUAGGAGCUUGCUCUUAUUGAUGGCGAGUGGCGGACGGGUGAGUAAUAUGUAGGAAUCUACCUAGAGGUGCGGGAUAACUUAGGGAAACUUAAGCUAAUACCACAUAAGCCCCAAGGGGGAAAGCAGGGGAUCUUCGGACCUUGCGCCUUAUGAUGAGCCUACAUCGGAUUAGCUUGUUGGUGGGGUAAAGGCCUACCAAGGCGACGAUCCGUAGCUGGUCUGAGAGGAUGAUCAGCCACACUGGGACUGAGACACGGCCCAGACUCCUACGGGAGGCAGCAGUGGGGAAUAUUGGACAAUGGACGCAAGUCUGAUCCAGCCAUUCCGCGUGCAGGAUGAAGGCCCUCGGGUUGUAAACUGC